GACAGAAUGAGUUUGCAUCACCCCUUGACAUGUGUUAACUCCUGACUUCCAAGGAUGGCCAUGUUCUUCCAGAUGCUGCAAAACCAGAUCUACAAGUGUGGAAUCAGUAGGCUGUAAGAAUUGUGGAGUACAUCCACUGACUCCAAGGAAAUAGCCAGGCCCACAAACUGGGGAGAGAAGAUGUCGGAGGCUCUCCGGAAGGAGUACAAGGAGCAAAUGCAGUGGAUGUAGAGGUGCCAAGACCAGUGUGUGCAGAUAUCAUUACAAAGAGUGCUACACAAAGGCAGCAUACAGCUCUUAUUCUCUUGGCGAAUUGCAUCUGUUGUUUAGUAGAUGGAGAACUGGUAGAAAAAUGGUUGGAGUAGUUAUGGAGGUAAGAAAAAAACAAAACAGAUGAGUUAUCCUACCAUGACCUGUGUUUCACAUUCCCUAUUCUUUCCUUUCAGCUGUUGAGUUGCUUUGCUGCUUUCAGUGUUCCGAAACUAUUGCACUGAGAGGCACAAAUGGACAAAAAUAAGGACCGAUUAUUAACAUUCACUCCAAAGCUGGGUUUGCAGAUGUGGCCACCAUAGCAACAACAGAAAACAACUUCUUCAGUAACAACUAAUAACAUAGGUAAUUUGGGUGGACUU